rnacentral:rRNA from 1 species
UACGUAGGGGGCUAGCGUUGUCCGGAAUCAUUGGGCGUAAAGAGCGUGUAGGCGGCCCGGUAAGUCCGCUGUAAAAGUCAAAGGCUCAACCUUUGAAUGUCAGUGGAUACUGCCGGGCUAGAGUCCGGAAGAGGCGAGUGGAACUCCUGGUGUAGCGGUGGAAUGCGCAGAUAUCUGGAGGAACACCGGUGGCGAAGGCGGCAUCCUGGACCGACACUGACGCUGAGGAGCGAAAGCCAGGGGAGCAAACGGG